rnacentral:rRNA from 1 species
CCUACGGGUGGCAGCAGUGAGGAAUAUUGGUCAAUGGACGCAAGUCUGAACCAGCCAUGCCGCGUGCAGGAAGACGGCUCUAUGAGUUGUAAACUGCUUUUGUACGAGGGUAAACGCAGAUACGCGUAUCUGUCUGAAAGUAUCGUACGAAUAAGGAUCGGCUAACUCCGUGCCAGCAGCCGCGGUAAUACGGAGGAUUCAAGCGUUAUCCGGAUUUAUUGGGUUUAAAGGGUGCGUAGGCGGUCGGAUAAGUUAGAGGUGAAAUCCCGAGGCUCAACUUCGGAAUUGCCUCUGAUACUGUUCGGCGAGAGAGUAGUUGCGGUAGGCGGAAUGUAUGGUGUAGCGGUGGAAUGCUUAGAGAUCAUACAGAACACCGAUUGCGAAGGCAGCUUACCAAGCUACUUCUGACGUUGAGGCACGAAAGCGUGGGGAGCAAACAGGAUUAGAUACCCGAGUAGUC